UAGUUUUGAAGUCAGUAAUUUCAGGGAUAUCUUGAUUCCAUAGCAGUUUGGUACAAGUCCAGGUAUUGGUGACACAUUGUGGGUAAAUUCCUUACAAUCACAAUAUAUGAACAAUGAUAAAAAAAAAAUGGAUUAGUAUACACAUAUGUAUUAAUUGUUCAAACAGGGCUAGUUCAAAUGAAAAAAUGGUAUAAAUAUUCUGGAAAAAAAUGACUUAAGAAAGAACAAACCAUGAGCUUCUUUAUCCCUAGCAUGCUUCACAAUGAGAAAGAUUGUAUCCGGUCCAUUCAAUUGAUUGAAUCCAUCAAAGAAUUGCUUGCACAAAUCAUCCCAUAUAAUGUCAC
rnacentral:lncRNA from 1 species